AGAACGAACGCUGGCGGCAGGCUUAACACAUGCAAGUCGAGCGCCCCGCAAGGGGAGCGGCAGACGGGUGAGUAACGCGUGGGAAUCUACCCAUCUCUACGGAACAACUCCGGGAAACUGGAGCUAAUACCGUAUACGUCCUUCGGGAGAAAGAUUUAUCGGAGAUGGAUGAGCCCGCGUUGGAUUAGCUAGUUGGUGGGGUAAUGGCCUACCAAGGCGACGAUCCAUAGCUGGUCUGAGAGGAUGAUCAGCCACACUGGGACUGAGACACGGCCAGACUCCUACGGGAGGCAGCAGUGGGGAAUAGUUGGACAA
rnacentral:rRNA from 1 species